rnacentral:rRNA from 1 species
GACGAACGCUGGCGGCGUGCUUAACACAUGCAAGUCGUACGGUAAGGCCCUUUCGUGGGUGCACGAGUGGCGGACGGGUGAGUAACACGUGAGUAACCUGCCCACAACUUUGGGAUAACGCUAGGAAACUGGUGCUAAUACUGGAUAUGUGCUCCUGCUGCAUGGUGGGGGUUGGAAAGCUCCGGCGGUUGUGGAUGGACUCGCGGCCUAUCAGCUUGUUGGUGGGGUAGUGGCCUACCAAGGCGGCGACGGGUAGCCGGCCUGAGAGGGUGACCGGCCACAUUGGGACUGAGAUACGGCCCAGACUCCUACGGGAGGCAGCAGUGGGGAAUAUUGCACAAUGGGCGCAAGCCUGAUGCAGCAACGCCGCGUGCGGGAUGACGGCCUUCGGGUUGUAAACCGCUUUCAGCAGGGACGAAGCUUUUUGUGACGGUACCUGCAGAAGAAGCACCGGCUAACUACGUG